AUGCAUUAUAUAGUGUUAAUGCAUCGCUAAUCUUUAUUGUUUCAGUGUGUGAGACUUUCAUUAUACUUCCAUUGGGCAAAGCAAGAAUGAGUUCUAUUUACAACUCUAGUAAAUAAAGAAAAUGAAUACACAACAUAAUUUAGUACCCUUGUGUCUAAAAUCCAAGAAUAUUCAUUACAUCUAUUUGUCUCCAUAGAAUGAGCAGAAAG
rnacentral:lncRNA from 1 species